rnacentral:rRNA from 1 species
UAAUACAUAAGUAACCUGCCCUAGACAGGGGGAUAACUAUUGGAAACGAUAGCUAAGACCGCAUAGGUACGGACACUGCAUGGUGACCGUAUUAAAAGUGCCUCAAAGCACUGGUAGAGGAUGGACUUAUGGCGCAUUAGCUGGUUGGCGGGGUAACGGCCCACCAAGGCGACGAUGCGUAGCCGACCUGAGAGGAUGACCGGCCACACUGGGACUGAGACACGGCCCAG